AACUAACGCUGGCGGCGUGCCUAACACAUGCAAGUCGUACGAGAAAGCCGGCUUCGGCUGGUGAGUAAAGUGGCGCACGGGUGAGUAACGCGUGGAUAAUCUGCCCUUAAGUGUGGAAUAACGUACCGAAAGGUGCGCUAAUACCGCAUAAUGCCUGGCAACACAAGUUGUCCGGCCAAAGAAGGCCUCUGUUUACAAGCUUUCGCUUCAGGAUGAGUCCGCGUACCAUUAGCUUGUUGGUGGGGUAAUGGCCUACCAAGGCUGCGAUGGUUAGCUGGUCUGAGAGGAUGAUCAGCCACACUGGAACUGAGACACGGUCCAGACUCCUACGGGAGGCAGCAGUGAGGAAUAUUGCGCAAUGGGGGCAACCCUGACGCAGCAACGCCGCGUGAGUGAGGAAGGUUUUCGGAUCGUAAACCUCUGUUGUACGGGAAGAAGGAUGUGACGGUACCGUACGAGGAAGCCCCGGCAAACUACGUGCCAGCAGCCGCGGUAAGCUCG
rnacentral:rRNA from 1 species